AACCGAAUAAUAAACGGAAUAAUACAAAUAGUGAAAGUAAACAAAAAGAUAUAGAAGAACAACAUAAAGAAUGGCUACAAAAAAAAAUAAAACAGAGUAGACUGUUUGGUAGUGAUAUUAUGUAUGACUUAGACAGGUUAAGCGUGUCAGGAGAGAGCAGUCACUCUAGUCGAUCGAAUUGUGAUAGCUCAAAUGCAGGGGACUCAAACCAUACAUACACCAAAACCAAACUGAACAUUAUUGAUGCACAGAAUAAUAUAAUAAAUGAAGAAAUACCCAUUCUUCAUAAUUAUUAUGAAAGUGAAAGUAUAAACACAUAUAUUUUUGUUGUUACUAAAGAUGAGUAUGAUAUAUAUAAUUGUAUUGGGUUAAAUGGUGAAAUAAUAAAAAAUGAAAAAAAUCUCGAAAUAUACAAAAAAGUGCAUAAUAUGUUUGAUUAUAGCAUUAUAAAACAUCAUAUUCUAAAUGAGAUCGAACGUGAUAAGUCAUCUGAUGAUUAUAUAAACAAAAGUGGAAUUGGAAAGGAAAGUGAGAGAAAAAAGGGAGGACAAAAGGAAGGACAAAAGGAAGGACAAAAGGAAGGACAAAAGGNNNNNNNNNNAGGACAAAAGGAAGGACAAAAGGAAGGACAAAAGGAAGGACAAAAGGGAGGACAAAAGGAAGGACAAAAGGAAGAACAAAAGGAAGGACAAAAGGAAGGACAAAAGGAGGGACAAAAGGAAGGACAAAAGGAAAGACAAAAGGAGGGACAAAAGGAGGGACAAAAGGAGGGACAAAAGGAGGGACAAAAGAAAAGGACAAACGGAGGUGACCAAUCUGUGGGCGUCCAAUAUGUAGGUGUCCAAAAUAAAUAUAUAAAUAAUUACAAUAAUAAUACAAAAUUCCCACCAUUUUGGGUUCCUAAAAAAAUUGAUAUGAAAAACAUUACAAAAGCAUUUCUUAAGAUGUGUUCUAUCCGUUUUUUUGCUUUUUUUUUUAAUAAAAUAAAUUAUUAUUGUAGUACAGGUAUAUAUAAAUAUUUAGAUAUGUUUCACAAAGUAAAUGAACACAUGGUUGACACACCAUUGAGAUGGUACACAUUAUUAUAUUCAAUUAAAAGUAUUGAUUUUAUUAGGUCUAAAUAUUAUUUAAAAUUAAGUAGCUAUGAUGAAAAAAUGAACAAAGUAAAUGGAUUAUACAGAGGUUUUUUAUACAUAAACAAUCAUGUGCUAGGCAGUUUUUGGAUAACAGAUGACAAAGAGAGUUACGAAAAUGAAAUAAAUGAAGAAAAACAAAUGGAAAAUAGAAAAAAAAAAAAAAAACAAAAAAAAAAAAACAUAAAAAAAAAAAAUAAAAAGAAAAACAAAUUUGUAAAUAAUGAAAAUAUAAUUAAUAUACCAUUAACAAGAUAUAUGAGAAUACCAACUGAUUGGCUAGUAAAAGGAAUUAAUGUUUUAAUUGUUUUUGAUGAGUUUGGUGGUAAUCCAUAUAAAAUCGAAAUUGUUAGGGAAGUAUUAAGUGGGGGAGUGUACAGUUUAACAAAAAAAGAAAAAUAUGUUAAUUGGUUUGUAUAUUUUAUUAUUUUUAGCUUUAUUAUUUUUAUUUUUUACUUCUUUUAUAAAGCUGUAUUUAAUUAUUAUAAAAAUAAAGAAGAAAAAAAAAGAAACAAGCAAAAUUAUCAAAAUAUAAUUGAAAAUAUUAUUACGCAUAAUAUUUAUACUAAUAGUUCAGAUAACAAUGAAGAUUCUAUAUCAAAUGACGAAACCAAUUCAGAGAGUAUUCAAAAUAUGAGUGACUUUUUGAAUUCUUGAUUACGCUUUUACUGCUAUGCAUACAUGCGUGCGUAAAUUUAUACGUGGUCGCACAAAACGAAUAUAACUUUUUAAUAUAACCCCCAUUUAAAUUGCAUUAUCAAAAGGUUAAUUAUUUGUCAAACAAAAAAAAAAAAAAAAAAAAAAAAUGGAUUUAUGAACACAUAUGUAUGUAUUUUCUUAUGUGUCAACAUGAACGCAAUUUUUUAAAUUUUCACAUUUUUUUUUUUUUCUUCCUGUCAUUUACAAUUUUUAUCUAAGCACAAGCACAAUAAAUAAGUAUACAUAUGUAUCUUUUCA
ensembl:lncRNA